GUUUUUGACGAAAUUGACGAAGUGUGUCAGUUUGUCACUUUCAUGAGGUUAGAGUAAUAACAUGUUCAACUACUUAGGACAUUGUCUCGAAUAUUGGUUGUGCCUUUUAGAUUUCGAGAAAAUUAACAACUAGAUACGUCUUUGCAGCGAACCUGUAUGAGAAUGAGAGUCUGAACGAGACAGAGUGGUCUAUCUAUCAGGACUGGCACGGCUGGCUCCACAAACAGUUUUUUUUAAAUGCAUCGAGCUGGACGGCAUCAUCUACCUUCAAGCCGCACCAGAGAGGUGCAUGGAGAGGCUACAUCUGAGAGGCAGAGAGGAGGAGCAGGGCAUUCCUCUGGAGUACCUGGAGAAACUCCACUUCAAACACGAGAGCUUGCUGCAGCACAAGACCAUGCGGCGAGAGAGGGAGGAAGGAAGGAAGUGUUGA